rnacentral:rRNA from 1 species
UACGUAGGGGGCAAGCGUUGUCCGGAAUCAUUGGGCGUAAAGAGCGUGUAGGCGGCCCGGUAAGUCCGCCGUGAAAGUCCAGGGCUCAACCCUGGGAUGCCGGUGGAUACUGUCGGGCUCGAGUCCGGAAGAGGAGUGUGGAAUUCCUAGUGUAGAGGUGAAAUUCGUAGAUAUUAGGAAGAACACCAGUGGCGAAGGCGGCUCACUGGCCCGGUACUGACGCUGAGGCGCGAAAGCGUGGGGAGCAAACAGG